rnacentral:rRNA from 1 species
UACGGGGGGGGCAAGCGUUAAUCGGAAUUACUGGGCGUAAAGGGCGCGUAGGCGGCGCGGUAAGUCACUUGUGAAAUCUCUGAGCUUAACUCAGAACGGCCAAGUGAUACUGCAGUGCUAGAGUGUGGAAGGGGCAAUCGGAAUUCUUGGUGUAGCGGUGAAAUGCGUAGAUAUCAAGAGGAACACCUGAGGUGAAGACGGGUUGCUGGGCCAACACUGACGCUGAGGCGCGAAAGCCAGGGGAGCAAACGGG